AAAUCCGUCGACUUUAGAAAUCGUGAGGGUUGAAGUCCCUUUAUCCCCA
rnacentral:tRNA from 1 species